rnacentral:rRNA from 1 species
UAAAGGAUUCCGGUCAGCGAUGGGGAUGCGUUCCAUUAGAUAGUUGGCGGGGUAACGGCCCACCAAGUCAACGAUGGAUAGGGGUCCUGAGAGGAAGGUCCCCCACAUUGGAACUGAGACACGGUCCAAACUCCUACGGGAGGCAGCAGUGAGGAAUAUUGGUCAAUGGGCGCAGGCCUGAACCAGCCAAGUAGCGUGAAGGAUGACUGCCCUAUGGGUUGUAAACUUCUUUUAUAAAGGAAUAAAGUCGGGUAUGUAUACCCGUUUGCAUGUACUUUAUGAAUAAGGAUCGGCUAACUCCGUGCCAGCAGCCGCGGUAAUACGGAGGAUCCGAGCGUUAUCCGGAUUUAUUGGGUUUAAAGGGAGCGUAGAUGGAUGUUUAAGUCAGUUGUGAAAGUUUGCGGCUCAACCGUAAAAUUGCAGUUGAUACUGGAUAUCUUGAGUGCAGUUGAGGCAGGCGGAAUUCGUGGUGUAGCGGUGAAAUGCUUAGAUAUCACGAAGAACUCCGAUUGCGAAGGCAGCCUGCUAAGCUGCAACUGACAUUGAGGCUCGAAAGUGUGGGUAUCAAACAGGAUUAGAUACCCUGGUAGUCCACACGGUAAACGAUGAAUACUCGCUGUUUGCGAUAUACGGCAAGCGGCCAAGCGAAAGCGUUAAGUAUUCCACCUGGGGAGUACGCCGGCAACGGUGAAACUCAAAGGAAUUGACGGGGGCCCGCACAAGCGGAGGAACAUGUGGUUUAAUUCGAUGAUACGCGAGGAACCUUACCCGGGCUUAAAUUGCA